rnacentral:rRNA from 1 species
UACGGAGGAUGCGAGCGUUAUCCGGAUUUAUUGGGUUUAAAGGGUGCGUAGGCGGAUCGUUAAGUCAGUGGUCAAAUUGAGGGGCUCAACCCCUUCCCGCCAUUGAAACUGGCGAUCUUGAGUGGAAGAGAAGUAUGCGGAAUGCGUGGUGUAGCGGUGAAAUGCAUAGAUAUCACGCAGAACCCCGAUUGCGAAGGCAGCAUGCCGGCUUCCUACUGACGCUGAAGCACGAAAGCGUGGGGAUCGAACAGC